UCACAACAAGUUCGCCCAGCGACAUUUAACCAUGGGUUUGUUAUGUUGACGUUAGCGGCAGACAAUGGCGGACCGCGAGGCAUGCCGGUAUUUGUAGUCCUUUGACCUGUGACUGGCGCUUUACGAGUGCGGCUGCAUCCCGGCAACAAAGACUACAAUUCCCGUCACUCAUUGCUGCGAAAGGGUUGACCGUUUUCGGAUCCCAAAAGUAAAGACAGUUAGUCCAAGGAGAGCGGGAGAGGGGUGGGAGUGGGGAAGGGUAAAGAGUCUUGCAGAAUCACCAGGAUACUGAAAUCAAUAAACAGAGAUGAGAUAUUCGAAUAAACAACGCCCUUCUUUUUGAAUUGGACACUCGAUUGGCGCGCGGCAGAACCAACGGUUUGACUGCGGCUCGAGCCGGCGGUACGUUCGUUUGGCUCGGGUGGUGGGGGGGGUGUGGUUUCGCGCUAGUCCUGCCAGGCCGGUGACGUCACAGGCGUUCCAUUGUGCCGUCGGGAAGGAGGCGGGGCAAAGGACGGGAGGGCGGUGAAGGGAUUGGGUUGGCGAGGGACGGGGGAGGGGAAGGAGGAAGGCAGAGGUUAUAAAAGGCCGUGCCGCCUGCUGCCUCGCUGCUAGUCACAGUAUGGCCGGCGACAUUAGCUAGCGCUCGCUGUAAGCAAUUCUCUGUGUAGAGGGAUCGGAAUUGGGGGCAAUUAUAAAAUUAUAUAAACAUCUUUUACAAAAAAAUCUUUUUAAAAAAAGCAAAAACAGAAACCGGACCGCUAAAGAACCCACUAAAACAGAGCAAUU